CUACGGGCCGCUGCAGUGGGGAAUAUUGCACAAUGGGCGCAAGCCUGAUGCAGCAACGCCGCGUGAGUGAAGAAGGCCUUCGGGUCGUAAAACUCUGUCCUAAGGGAAGAAAAAUGACGGUACCUUAGGAGGAAGCCCCGGCUAACUACGUGCCAGCAGCCGCGGUAAUAGGUAGGGGGCAAGCGUUAUCCGGAAUCACUGGGCGUAAAGGGUGCGUAGGCGGCCUGUCAAGUCAGAAGUGAAAGGCUAUGGCUCAACCAUAGUAAGCUUUUGAAACUGAUGGGCUUGAAUACAGGAGAGGUAAGUGGAAUUCUUAGUGUAGCGGUGAAAUGCGUAGAGAUUAGGAGGAACACCAGUGGCGAAGGCGACUUACUGGACUGUUAUUGACGCUGAGGCACGAAAGCGUGGGGAGCGAACAGGAUUAGAUACCCGCGUAGUC
rnacentral:rRNA from 1 species